rnacentral:lncRNA from 1 species
AUGACCUUGAUUUUACUAUCACACAAAAACUUGAUGCUAACUCAGAUGAAUGUCUACUCACAACAGUGGGGGCUGAAUACCAAUCUUAUACACCAUGGAUGAGCGUUGCCUCACAACAGUGGGACGUCCCACAGCCACGCAAUGCAGCUAAUGAGUCGAGACCGCAACAAAAUCGACGAUGGCACGGCGACCAACAGGGCAGCUAAUGGUGAAAGCUUUGCAAUCCAACCUUGCUCAUCAACCUCAUAACCAGCGACCAACACACAACAAACUUACAAAAAGGACGAGUCACUCAUCCAACCCUCUGACACCCUUGGUCGUCGUGGACGCAUUGGUACUGCUACUCUGGCUCCUUGUCUCCUCGUGCGCCCUCUCUAGCUCGGCU